UGGGGAAUUUUGCGCAAUGGGCGAGAGCCUGACGCAGCAACGCCGCGUGGGUGAUGAAGGUCUUCGGAUCGUAAAACCCUGUCGUCAGGGACGAAGGUCACGAGUUUAAGAGAUGCGUGACUUGACGGUACCUGGAGAGGAAGCCCCGGCUAACUCUGUGCCAGCAGCCGCGGUAAUACAGAGGGGGCAAGCGUUAUUCGGAAUUAUUGGGCGUAAAGGGCGCGUAGGCGGGGUCUUAAGUGAGACGUGUAAUCCCCGGGCUUAACGUGGGAACUGCA
rnacentral:rRNA from 1 species